rnacentral:rRNA from 1 species
GAUGAACGCUGGCGGCGUGCCUAAUACAUGCAAGUCGAACGAAACUUCUUUAUCACCGAGUGCUUGCACUCACCGAUACAGAGUUGAGUGGCGAACGGGUGAGUAACACGUGGGCAACCUGCCCAAAAGAGGGGGAUAACACUUGGAAACAGGUGCUAAUACCGCAUAACCAUAGUUACCGCAUGGUAACUAUGUAAAAGGUGGCUAUACUACCGCCUUUGGAUGGGCCCGCGGCGCAUUAGCUAGUUGGUAGGGUAAAGGCUUACCAAGGCAAUGAUGCGUAGCCGAAUUGAGAGGUUGAUCGGCCACAUUGGGACUGAGACACGGACCAAACUCCUACGGGAGGCAGCAGUAGGGAAUCUUCCACAAUGGGCGAAAGCCUGAUGGAGCAACGCCGCGUGGGUGAAGAAGGUCUUCGGAUCGUAAAACCCUGUUGUUAGAGAAGAAAGUGCGUGAGAGUAACUGUUCACGUUUCGACGGUAUCUAACCAGAAAGCCGCGGCUAACUACGUG